AUGAGAUGUAUGUGAUGGCAAUUACUGCAAAAGCCAUGAACUGUUUGGACAAGACGAUAGAGCUCUUCAAGUCAUAGCAUACUUUGACGAUGUAGAAGUUGUCAAUCUUUUGGGAUCUAAAGGAAAGAAGUUGUUUCUACUACAUCUUAGCAAACUUGGCACCUGUCCAUAGGUCUGCUGUGGAAGCAAUUCAGCUAAUUGCCGUUGCAAAGACAAAUGACAUACCAAGUUAUGGUGUUGAUCUUUUUUUGCAGGCAUUUGUGGAUGAGAUCAACACUCUUUCGAUGGGCCACACAUUUAUUAUACAUGGAAAUGAGCAACGGUUAUCUGGGUCUGUGGUUGCAUUUUGUGGAGACAUUUCUGCAAGCAAUUUCUUUGGUGGAUUUAAAGAAGGAGUUGGAGGAGCAUUUAGAAAGUGUUGUCAAUGUAUGGCUAGUGAUUCAGACAUACAAAACAAGUUUACAGAAAGCAAGUUUGUUAUGAGGAAUGAAGUGAUGCAUAAAGAACAGUGUCAGCAGCUGGAAGAUUCUGACUUACGCUCUCUCUUCUCUGUCAAUUAUGGGUUAAAUUAUAGGAGUGUUUUAAUUAAGCAAAAUCAAGAACUUCAUAGUCACUCAGCGCGUACCAUUUGACUUGAUGCAUAUUCUUUUGGAAGGAGUGAUCACCAGAGAAAUUAGAGUGCUUCUUCAACACUGCUUUUCUUAGAGGUAUUUUACAUUUGUAACCCUGAACCAACAAAGCAAGUAUGUAGAUCUAGGAUAUAAUGAAUGCAAAGAUCAUCCCACACAAAUAACAAGAGAUCCUAUAGAUCGAGAUGAGAUGUUAGGUCAGCGAGCUGCUCAGUCAUGGUUUUUGGCAUUGAACGUUCCAAUUUUCAUAGGUGAAUAUGUUCCAGCUGAUGAUGAACACUACUUUUGUUUUCUGACAUUGCUGCUAUGAUUGAAGGCCAUCACCACCGAUUCUGUCACUUAUAUCCUGGCAAAACAAUAACACCUAAAAUGCGUUGUAUGGUUCAUCUGCCAAGUCAGCUUUUGAGGAACUACUAUAGACUUUACCAACCACCUCUUAGCAGAGCAGCUCUGAAGAUAGCUUGGUUCAAGGAAUCAAAACUUCAUUGUGGGUUUUGAGUGCUAAAGGUCUUACCAUGCGAAGUGUUAUAUACAAAAACGGCUCUGUAGUUAAGAUUCCAGCACUUAAUCCAGAUAUUGACUUCACUUUUGCUACAGUUGAUCUCAUUAUGUGGCAGAGAAUGAGAAAUAUUUUGUUGUUCGAUGUCUUGAGAUCUGCUCUUUCAAUGAUCACUUUUACUCAUAUGAAGUUCAGCCAAGCGCAAAGAGUACACUGGUUUCAUGCAAUUCUCUUAUAGAGAAUGAGUCAUCCAGUAUCAGAAAAGUUGGUGACAUGCUGUUGGUGACUGAAAGAAUUGCUGUUUUUCAUCACAUACCUGGACUUUAGAUAUGUAGCAUAUAUUUUCUUAAUUGUGUGACUGGUGUAAACAAUACUUCACGUGUGCCUUAGACUUCUCUAUACUAAUGUACAAAGCACCAGUUGCAGGUUUUGUUUCUAACUGAGAUUAUUAGAAUUUACACAUUUUUCUUGUUGUAGAGUAGAAGGUUUGAUUUAGCACACUUGUUGUAAACGUUUCAACACAUCAGUACUUGUUACCA